rnacentral:rRNA from 1 species
AAAGGGAGCGUAGGUGGACUGAUAAGUCAGUGGUGAAAUCUCCGAGCUUAACUCGGAAAUUGCCAUUGAUACUGCCGGUCUUGAGUACAGUUGCUGUGGGCGGAAUAUGACAUGUAGUGGUGAAAUACAUAGAGAUGUCAUAGAACACCGAUUGCGAAGGCAGCUCACAAAGCUGUAACUGACACUGAGGCUCGAAAGUGCGGGGAUCAAACAGGAUUAGAUACCCUUGU